rnacentral:rRNA from 1 species
GGAAGGGCCAUCGCUCAACGGAUAAAAGGUACUCCGGGGAUAACAGGCUGAUACCGCCCAAGAGUUCAUAUCGACGGCGGUGUUUGGCACCUCGAUGUCGGCUCAUCACAUCCUGGGGCUGAAGGUUGUGUCGCCAGACGCAUUGCCCGGUAGCUAAGUUCGGAAUCGAUAACCGCUGAAAGCAUCUAAGCGGGAAGCGAGCCCUGAGAUGAGUCUUCCCUGAUACUUUAAGUAUCCUAAAGGGUUGUCGGAGACUACGACGUUGAUAGGUCAGGUGUGUAAGUGCUGUGAGGCA